CCUGGGUGAUUAGUGGCGACGGGUGAGUAACACGUGGGCAAUCUGCCCUGCACUCUGGGACAAGCCCUGGAAACGGGGUCUAAUACCGGAUAUGACGCACGGCCGCAUGGUCUGUGCGUGGAAAGCUCCGGCGGUGCAGGAUGAGCCCGCGGCCUAUCAGCUAGUUGGUGGGGUGAAGGCCUACCAAGGCGACGACGGGUAGCCGGCCUGAGAGGGCGACCGGCCACACUGGGACUGAGACACGGCCCAGACUCCUACGGGAGGCAGCAGUGGGGAAUAUUGCACAAUGGGCGAAAGCCUGAUGCAGCGACGCCGCGUGAGGGAUGAAUGCCUUCGGGUUGUAAACCUCUUUCAGCAGGGAAGAAGCGAGAGUGACGUUACCUGCAGAAGAAGCACCGGCUAACUACGUGCCAGCAGCCGCGGUAAUACGUAGGGUGCGAGCGUUGUCCGGAAUUAUUGGGCGUAAAGAGCUCGUAGGCGGCUUGUCACGUCGGAUGUGAAAGCUCGGGGCUUAACCCCGGGUCUGCAUUCGAUACGGGCAGGCUAGAGUUCGGUAGGGGAGAUCGGAAUUCCUGGUGUAGCGGUGAAAUGCGCAGAUAUCAGGAGGAACACCGGUGGCGAAGGCGGAUCUCUGGGCCGAUACUGACGCUGAGGAGCGAAAGCAUGGGGAGCGAACAGGAUUAGAUACCCUGGUAGUCCAUGCCGUAAACGUUGGGAACUAGGUGUGGGCGACAUUCCACGUCGUCCGUGCCGCAGCUAACGCAUUAAGUUCCCCGCCUGGGGAGUACGGCCGCAAGGCUAAAACUCAAAGGAAUUUGACGGGGGCCCGCACAAGCGC
rnacentral:rRNA from 1 species